GCGGCGUACGGGUGCGGAACACGUGUGCAACUUGCCUUUAUCUGGGGGAUAGCCUUUCGAAAGGAAGAUUAAUACCCCAUAAUAUGUUGAAUGGCAUCAUUCGACAUUGAAAACUCCGGUGGAUAGAGAUGGGCACGCGCAAGAUUAGAUAGUUGGUGAGGUAACGGCUCACCAAGUCUACGAUCUUUAGGGGCCUGAGAGGGUGAUCCCCCACACUGGUACUGAGACACGGACCAGACUCCUACGGGAGGCAGCAGUGAGGAAUAUUGGACAAUGGGUGAGAGCCUGAUCCAGCCAUCCCGCGUGAAGGACGACUGCCCUAUGGGUUGUAAACUUCUUUUGUAUAGGGAUAAACCUACCCUCGUGAGGGUAGCUGAAGGUACUAUACGAAUAAGCACCGGCUAACUCCGUGCCAGCAGCCGCGGUAAUACGGAGGGUGCAAGCGUUAUCCGGAUUUAUUGGGUUUAAAGGGUCCGUAGGCGGACCUGUAAGUCAGUGGUGAAAUCUCACAGCUUAACUGUGAAACUGCCAUUGAUACUGCAGGUCUUGAGUGUUGUUAGAAGUAGCUGGAAUAAGUAGUGUAGCGGUGAGAUGCACAGA
rnacentral:rRNA from 1 species